rnacentral:rRNA from 1 species
AACGAACGCUGGCGGCAGGCUUAACACACGCAAGUCGAACGCCCCGCAAGGGGAGUGGCAGACGGGUGAGUAACGCGUGGGAAUCUACCCAUCUCUGCGGAAUAGCUCCGGGAAACUGGAAUUAAUACCGCAUACGCCCUACGGGGGAAAGAUUUAUCGGGGAUGGAUGAGCCCGCGUUGGAUUAGCUAGUUGGUGGGGUAAAGGCCUACCAAGGCGACGAUCCAUAGCCGGUCUGAGAGGAUGAUCAGCCACAUUGGGACUGAGACACGGCCCAAACUCCUACGGGAGGCAGCAGUGGGGAAUAUUGGACAAUGGGCGCAAGCCUGAUCCAGCCAUGCCGCGUGAGUGAUGAAGGCCUUAGGGUUGUAAAGCUCUUUCACCGGUGAAGAUAAUGACGGUAACCGGAGAAGAAGCCCCGGCUAACUUCGUGCCAGCCGCCGCGGUAA